rnacentral:rRNA from 1 species
GACGAACGCUGGCGGCGUGCUUAACACAUGCAAGUCGAACGGAAAGGCCCUGCUUUUGUUGGGUUCUCUAGUGGCGAUCGUGUGUGUAACACGUGAGUAACCUGCCCUUGUCUUUGUUAUAACUUCAGGAAACUGGGGCUAAUACCCGAUAUUAUCUCCUGCUUCAUGGUGUGGGUUGGUUAUUUUCGGCGGUUGGGGAUGUACUCGCUGCUUAUCAGCUUGUUGGUUGGGUAGUGGCUUACCAAGGCUUUGACGGGUAGCCGGCCUGAGAGGGUGACCGGCCACAUUGGGACGGAGAUACGGCCCAGACUCCUACGGGAGGCAGCAGUGGGGAAUAUUGCAAAAUGGGCGGAAGCCUGAUGCAGCAACGCCGCGUGCGGGAUGACGGCCUUCGGGUUGUAAACCGCUUUCGCCUGUGACGAAGCGUGAGUGACGGUAAUGGGUAAAGAAGCACCGGCUAACUACGUG